UACGUAGGGUGCGAGCGUUAAUCGGAAUUACUGGGCGUAAAGCGUGCGCAGGCGGUUCUCCAAGUCCGUUGUGAAAGCCCCGGGCUCAACCUGGGAAUGGCAGUGGAAACUAGGGGACUGGAAUCUGGCAGAGGGGGGUGGAAUGCCGCGUGUAGCAGUGAAAUGCGUAGAGAUGCGGCAGAACACCGAUGGCGAAGGCAGCCCCCUGGGCUGAGAUUGACGCUCAGGCACGAAAGCGUGGGGAGCAAACAGG
rnacentral:rRNA from 1 species